AGGACGAACGCUGGCGGCGUGCUUAACACAUGCAAGUGGAGCGACGAACCAGGGCUUGCCCUGGGGCAGAGCCGCGAACGGGUGAGUAACACGUGGGUUACCUGCCUCGAUGACCGGUACAACCCGAGGAAACUCGGGCUAAUACCGGAUGUGCCCGCAAGGGGGAAAGGAAGCUUCGGCCUCCGCAUCGAGAUGGGCCCGCGGCCCAUUAGCUUGUUGGUGAGGUAACGGCUCACCAAGGCUUCGAUGGGUAGCUGGUCUGAGAGGACGAUCAGCCACACUGGGACUGAGACACGGCCCAGACUCCUACGGGAGGCAGCAGUGGGGAAUCUUGCGCAAUGCGCGAAAGCGUGACGCAGCAACGCCGCGUGGGGGAAGAAGGCUUUCGGGUUGUAAACCCCUUUCAGUUGGGACGAAGCUUCUUCGGUGAAUAGCCGAACGGAGUGACGGUACCUUCACAAGAAGCACCGGCUAACUACGUGCCAGCAGCCGCGGU
rnacentral:rRNA from 1 species